rnacentral:rRNA from 1 species
AGCGAACGCUAGCGGCGGGCCUAACACAUGCAAGUCGAGCGCAUACCUUCGGGUAUGAGCGGCGGACGGGUGAGUAACGCGUAGGUCAUCUACCCUUUGGUGGGGGAUAACCCAGGGAAACUUGGGCUAAUACCGCACGAGGUCUACGGAUCAAAGCCUUCGGGCGCCAGAGGAUGAGCCUGCGUCGCAUUACCUAGUUGGCGGGGUAACGGCCCACCAAGGGGACGAUGCGUAGCUGGUCUGAGAGGAUGAUCAGCCACACUGGGACUGAGACACGGCCCAGACUCCUACGGGAGGCAGCAGUGGGGAAUAUUGCGCAAUGGGGGGAAACCCUGACGCAGCCACGCCGCGUGGGUGAUGAAGGCCUUCGGGUUGUAAAGGCCCUGUCGGGAGGGACGGAAUUCUUGACGGUACCUCCAAAGAAAGACACCGGCUAACUCCGUGCCAGCAGCCGCGGUAAU